rnacentral:rRNA from 1 species
AGAUUAAGUUAUUAAGGGCGCACGGUGGAUGCCUUGGCACUAGAAGCCGAUGAAGGACGUUACUAACGACGAUAUGCUUUGGGGAGCUGUAAGUAAGCUUUGAUCCAGAGAUUUCCGAAUGGGGAAACCCAGCAUGAGUUAUGUCAUGUUAUCGAUAUGUGAAUACAUAGCAUAUCAGAAGGCACACCCGGAG